UGGUGGCGUGAGUUGUCCGGUUAAUUCCGUUAACGAACGAGAACCCUUCUUCUCAAUAGGACGGACGUUCUUAGCCGUGCUGUCGGGAAACCCCCGGCAUGCACUCGUCUCUAGCGGCUCGCCAGGUGGCCCCUUGGCCUCAGUUGCCUUGGUGGCCCCUGGGUCAACGUGCCCGGGGACACGGAACGUCGCUGCGCUUCUUAGAAGGACGGUGCUGCGUUAAAUCCAACGCACAGAAGCAUGGGUCGA
rnacentral:rRNA from 1 species